rnacentral:rRNA from 1 species
AGGUUAAGUUAAUAAGGGCGCAUGGUGGAUGCCUUGGCACUAGAAGGCGAUGAAGGACGUGACUAACUACGAUAUGCCUCGGUUAGCUGUAAGUAAGCUUACCCGGGGGUUUCCGAAUGGGGCAACCCGAUCUUAAUGAUCAUCAUCUUUUUGAAUUCAUAGAUUAGAUGAAGCAAACGCUGUGAACUGAAACAUCUCAGUAGCAGUAGGAAAGUAAAGAAAUUUCGAUUCCGUCAGUAGCGGCGAGCGAACGCGGAAGAGCCCAAACCUGGAUGCUUGCAUCCAGGGGUUGUAGGACUGAUGUUGAGUUACAAAGGUAUAAGAUAGCAGAAACAGUUGGGAAGCUGUUCCAAAGAGGGUGACAGGCCCGUAUGCGAAAUCUUGUACUCUCUAAUCAGGAUCCUGAGUACGGCCCAGCACGUGAAAUUGGGUCGGAAUCUGGGAGGACCAUCUCCCAAGGCUAAAUACUAACUAGUGACCGAUAGCGAACAAGUACCGUGAGGGAAAGGUGAAAAGAACCCCGGAAGGGGAGUGAAAUAGUUCUUGAAAC